GAUGAAGAACGUAGCGAAAUGCGAUACUUGGUGUGAAUUGCAGAAUCCCGUGAACCAUCGAGUCUUUGAACGCAAGUUGCGCCCGAAGCCACUAGGCCGAGGGCACGCCUGCCUGGGCGUCACACGCCGUUGCCCCCCCAUCUACUCCUUCGGGAUUGCGGGGGGGCGGAUGAUGGCCUCCCGUGCGCCUAGCCGCGCGGUUGGCAUAAAUACCAAGUCCUCGGCGACGCACGCCACGACAAUCGGUGGUUGCGAAACCGCGGUUGCCCGUCGUGUGCGUUCGUCGCGCAUCGAGGGCUCGAAAAAAUGCUCGGCUCCGGCUGGGCUUUCAACGCGACCCCAGGUCAGGCGGGGUUACCCGCUGAAUUUAAGCAUAUCAAUAAGCGGAGGA
rnacentral:misc_RNA from 1 species